AGGCUAAACGAGACUUUAGUUAUCAAAGCUAGCUAUCGUGGCUCCCAAUUCACCAGAGAUUCCUUCCCCUCCGGAGAAAGAAAGUGCAUGAAUGCAGUGAAGUCCACUGGCGGUGAGGGUUUAUGCCCAGAAAAUGCAUUUGAGGUUUCGUUGCCAGGAGUCUUUGGCUGCUAUACUUCAAGACUAGAUAAAACAACCAACUGCCAACUACCCACAUAUAAUUGGUGCCUAGAGAGGAGCA
rnacentral:misc_RNA from 1 species